CGCGGCCUAUCAGCUUGUUGGUGGGGUGAUGGCCUACCAAGGCGACGACGGGUAGCCGGCCUGAGAGGGCGACCGGCCACACUGGGACUGAGACACGGCCCAGACUCCUACGGGAGGCAGCAGUGGGGAAUAUUGCGCAAUGGGCGGAAGCCUGACGCAGCGACGCCGCGUGGGGGAUGACGGCCUUCGGGUUGUAAACCUCUUUCGACUUCGACGAAGCCUUUUGGGGUGACGGUAGGGGUGGAAGAAGCACCGGCCAACUACGUGCCAGCAGCCGCGGUAACACGUAGGGUGCGAGCGUUGUCCGGAAUUAUUGGGCGUAAAGAGCUCGUAGGCGGUGUGUCGCGUCGGCCGUGAAAACCUGUGGCUUAACUAUGGGCUUGCGGUCGAUACGGGCAUCACUGGAGUUCGGCAGGGGAGACUGGAAUUCCUGGUGUAGCGGUGAAAUGCGCAGAUAUCAGGAGGAACACCGGUGGCGAAGGCGGGUCUCUGGGCCGAUACUGACGCUGAGGAGCGAAAGCGUGGGGAGCGAACAGGAUUAGAUACCCUGGUAGUCCACGCCGUAAACGUUGGGCGCUAGGUGUGGGGGCCAUUCCACGGUCUCUGUGCCGUAGCUAACGCAUUAAGCGCCCCGCCUGGGGAGUACGG
rnacentral:rRNA from 1 species